ACGAACGCUGGCGGCGUGCCUAAUACAUGCAAGUCGAACGAAGCUUUCUUUCACCGAAUGCUUGCAUUCACCGAAAGAAAACUUAGUGGCGAACGGGUGAGUAACACGUAGGCAACCUGCCCAAAAGAGGGGGAUAACACUUGGAAACAGGUGCUAAUACCGCAUAACCAUGAACACCGCAUGAUGUUCAUGUAAAAGACGGCUUUUGCUGUCACUUUUGGAUGGGCCUGCGGCGUAUUAACUUGUUGGUGGGGUAACGGCCUACCAAGGUGAUGAUACGUAGCCGAACUGAGAGGUUGAUCGGCCACAUUGGGACUGAGACACGGCCCAAACUCCUACGGGAGGCAGCAGUAGGGAAUCUUCCACAAUGGACGAAAGUCUGAUGGAGCAACGCCGCGUGAAUGGAGAAGGCCUUCGGGUCGUAAAAUUCUGUUGUCAGAGAAGAACGUGCGUGAGAGUAACUGUUCACGUAUUGACGGUAUCUGACCAGAAAGCCACGGCUAACUACGUGCCAGCAGCCGCGGUAAUACGUAGGUGGCAAGCGUUGUCCGGAUUUAUUGGGCGUAAAGGGAACGCAGGCGGUCUUUUAAGUCUGAUGUGAAAGCCUUCGGCUUAACCGAAGUAGUGCAUUGGAAACUGGAAGACUUGAGUGCAGAAGAGGAGAGUGGAACUCCAUGUGUAGCGGUGAAAUGCGUAGAUAUAUGGAAGAACACCAGUGGCGAAAGCGGCUCUCUGGUCUGUAACUGACGCUGAGGUUCGAAAGCGUGGGUAGCAAACAGGAUUAGAUACCCUGGUAGUCCACGCCGUAAACGAUGAGUGCUAAGUGUUGGAGGGUUUCCGCCCUUCAGUGCUGCAGCUAACGCAUUAAGCACUCCGCCUGGGGAGU
rnacentral:rRNA from 1 species